ACUCCUACGGGAGGCAGCAGUAAGGAAUAUUGCGCAAUGGGCGAAAGCCUGACGCAGCGACGCCGCGUGGGGGAUGAAGGUCUUCGGAUUGUAAACCCCUUUCGGGAGGGAAGAUGGAGCGAGCAAUCGUUCGGACGGUACCUCCAGAAGCAGCCACGGCCAACUUCGUGCCAGCAGCCGCGGUAAUACGAAGGUGGCAAGCGGUGUUCGGAUUCACUGGGCAUACAGGGUGUGUAGGCGGUUUGGUAAGCCUUCUGUUAAAGCUUCGGGCCCAACCCGGAAAGCGCAGAGGGUACUGCCAGGCUAGAGGGUGGGAGAGGAGCGCGGAAUUCCCG
rnacentral:rRNA from 1 species